rnacentral:lncRNA from 13 species
AUGAAUUGUAUAAUAAAAACAAAAUCUUCAAAUGGCCUUGAAUUAGUAAUGAACCUGUCUUUUGUUUGCUGCUCUGGUUUGUUUGACUAAUCACUGUAGAUGAAAAAAAUGAGCAGUGUUUGCUUUUGCUGGUUUGUUUUGUUUCAUUGCUUUUUCUGGCCCUUGCGUAGAAGACAAAGCAAUUUUUAUGCCCAUCAGAAAUAACUUGAGUUACAGCAUUGAGCUCAAGAUUUUGAGCUAUUUCAUCUGAGAACCUAACUUUUAUAAAAUUUUACCUAGGUCUUUUUCUUAUAGACCAUUAAACCUUUAAUUAACUGUUCCAUCACCCUAAGCAAUUAUUAGUCAGGCAAACCUAAAUUUAUGUUUUCAAAAAGUAUUUAGGUUAUUGGUUGCCAUGGAGCUGUUGUAAUCUGCAAAGCAAUUAAUUUCAAAACCCUUUAAGAAUUUUAAAGAAAAUCUUGGCUGGAAUGCCAUAAGCAGUGAGUUUUCUCAACACCUGCAGAAGGCUCAACUGAUUCAAGGUAGGUAUAAAAACAGAUAGUGAGACAGAACACUUAGAAAGCUUUACGUGCUAACUCUAUAGUGGCAUGUCUUUCUUUUUUUUUUUAGAGAGUUCAAAUAAUGACAAUUUGAGCUCUCAGUUUUCCUUGACAUAAUUUUCUUAUCAGUUAAAAUCUCUUCCUGGUGUGCAUGGGUAGGGAAAUCAGAUGGCCAACAGGAGGCAUGACUAGAUUCCAGCUCUGGACAAAGCAGCUUGUGGAAGCUCGCAUUGUAAAUUUUAGCUCUAGAUCGACUACAAGAACAAACCAGCAAUUCUAAGAGGACCCAUAGAUCCUCUGAAGGAAGUGGACUGCUCCUACAGGACUUGGAGACACCCCAAAAACUGUUGCUUCCAAGUCUUGGCUGUCGUGGAUACUGCUGCAGAAAUCAUGGGAGUGCAAAUAUCUCUGGCAUACUGAUUUCCAGUCUUUUGGGUGAAUACCAAGCAAGUGGAAUACUGGAUCAUAAGGUCUGGAAGCUGCAAAGAUCAAGGUGACAGUAUUUUGAUGUCUGGUGAGAUCCUUCUUCUAUCUUCACACUGUGGAAAAAGAGACGGGCAAAAGGGGACUAUUUCUCUCUAGCUCUUUUAUAAGGCAGGACUCCAUUCAUGACGACAGAGUCCGCAUGACCGAAUCACCUCUCAAAGAAUACUCCUUUUGAUACUGAGGCAUCAGGAAUUAAGUUUCAACAUGAAUUUUGGAGGGAACAUAAACAUUCAACCAUAGCAGAAGCAUUUUUCUUCGUUUGACACACAGGAAGACUGCAUUUUCCAGUCCUCUAGAAAGUUUUGCACUAGGGACUAUCCUUAGAUGCCAUGCAUUUUUUUUGUUUUUAUCACAUGCUCCUUAACUGGCUGAAUGAAGGGGAUGCAGUGGCAACACAAGGUGCGAAGAACCAUGAUCCCUGAAGUAUAUGGAAGGCCAUUUGCCAAACAAACACCUGAUUAGUCUGUGAACCUUUACUGUGUUAAACACUGAUCAUUCUGAGUUAAUUACAACAGCUAACAUUAAUUGCUUUGAUAAUGUGCACUGUUUAGCUCUCUGAAUUGUCUUGUCCUGGAUCAUUUUUCUAGUUAUUUCCCCAUUCAUAUUUUCACUUGGCACUUUGUUCCCAAAAAUAUCCUCUAGUAAAAAAUCUUUUGGUUCUACAUCAUGUGUGCUUUGAUCAAUUUUUCAUUGACUACUAUCUAAUUUUAAUUACCCACAUAAAGCUCCCGUAUUCCAAACAUCUCUCCGUGAACCACUGAUUCAAACCUACUUCCAAUAUCUGAUUCUUUAAAUUCUAGACAUGUGAUUCCAAUUUGAUCUUAAAAUCCUACAACAAUUUCUAGAAAUUACGAACUCUCUAUAUGUCCACCUUUUCUUCUACUUAUCUUCCUUUUAGCAGCUUUUAACGAUACAUGAAAAUAGUUGAGAAACUAGAACUUCUUGUCAGAACUACUUUUUACAAACUAGAACCUCAGAGAGCAAAUGAAUCUCACAUGAAUUAUUUCAUGA